AACGAACGCUGGCGGCAUGCCUAACACAUGCAAGUCGAACGAGACCUUCGGGUCUAGUGGCGCACGGGUGCGUAACACGUGGGAAUCUGCCCUUUGCUUCGGAAUAACAGUUAGAAAUGACUGCUAAUACCGGAUGAUGUCGAAAGACCAAAGAUUUAUCGGCAAAGGAUGAGCCCGCGUAGGAUUAGGUAGUUGGUGGGGUAAAGGCCUACCAAGCCGACGAUCCUUAGCUGGUCUGAGAGGAUGAUCAGCCACACUGGGACUGAGACACGGCCCAGACUCCUACGGGAGGCAGCAGUGGGGAAUAUUGGAAAAUGGGCGAAAGCCUGAUCCAGCAAUGCCGCGUGAGUGAUGAAGGCCUUAGGGUUGUAAAGCUCUUUUACCAGGGAUGAUAAUGACAGUACCUGGAGAAUAAGCACCGGCUAACUCCGUG
rnacentral:rRNA from 1 species